rnacentral:lncRNA from 1 species
AGUAGAGACAGGGUUUCACCAUGCUGGCCAGGAUGGUCUUGAUAUCUUGACCUUGUGAUCUGCCCGCCUUGGCCUCCCAAAGUGCUGGGAUUACAGGCGUGAGCCACCGCGACAGGCCCCCCUCAUCUUUAUCCUUAACUAAUGAGGGGUGUAUUUGUUUGUUUUGUUUUUUUAGAUGGAGUCUCACUCUGUCGCCCAGGCUGGAGUGCAGUGGCGCAAUCUCGGCUCACUGCAACCUCCACCUCCUGGGUUCAAGCGAUUCUCCUGCCUCAGCCUCCUGAGUAGCUGGGAUUGCAGGCGUGCGCCACCACGCCCGGCUGAUUUUUGUAUGUUUAGUAGAGAUGGGGUUUCACCAUGUUGGUCAGGCUGGUCUCGAACUCCUAACCUCGUGAUGCACCCGCCUCGGCCUCCCAAAGUCCCGGGAGCCACUGCACCCGGCCUGAAGGGUGUAUUUCUAAGAAAGUAUCUACCUGCCCUUGGUAGGGGCUGGAUCUUACACUUUGCUGCAGCUCCCAUGUCUGCACCAGCCUCCUUAGAGGCAACCAAGGGCUGGGGGAUGAGCACAAGCAGCUUCCCACUUCCCAGGCCACUCACCUCUUCAGGGCACCCACGGUAUCCUCUGGCCUAGCCACAGCCAGCUCCUCGGUAUCAUUGAGGAAUUUGAGCCGCACAGUGAUGAGGCCAGGGCUGGGAGGGAGGCAGGUGCUAUCCUCAGAUCUCAGGGGGGCCUCUGGACUGCUGCUGCCUGCACCUGCUUGUCUUUUGGGCAGGCCUUGGAUGUCAAGGAGAUGCUCAAGGCUGGGCUCAACACCACCCCCAGCUCCAGCCUCCCCAGUGGAGUCUCCCCGACCUUCACCCGCCUCUUCAGCCUUCUCAUCAUUACCCUCUGAUGGAUGGGGGAGUUCAGUUGGCUCGGGGUUGCCUUGGCCUGCCACCAGGUGGUCCACAUGCCCCAGGUGGAGGACGGAUGUGUCGCCUGCUGACACAAUAGCGCCCAGGAGCUGGUUGCUACCGCUGUCUGCUACGUAGGUAGAGAGCCAAGCUAGGACCAAGGCUAGAAUCAGCACCACCACACCUGCCACCACCAUCACCUCAUUACCCACACCCUCAAUGAGGGUGACAUCAGAGAGCUCCAUGGCCUGGCUGCUGGCAGGGUCCACGCUGCAGGAACAAAGGGGGACAGCAUCAGCAGAGCCUGAGGGGUUGCAACCAGGUCUCUAGUUUGUUUAGGUUCUAACUGACCCAGCCCUGAAAAAAAAAAAAAAGGAGUUCAGUGUUGUGUAGAAGGGGGCACAAACCUUCCUAAUUCCGGCACCCCAACCUAAACCUAAAGACCUACCCUACCCUUUGCCUCUAUUGUGAAACUCUUGCUUUCACGUUCUGUGACCUUCCUCUCUCAAACUCCAACUUCCCAAUGAGUGUGGAUCAGCAGGAAAAGCCCACAGCCUUGCUGCUGCUGCUACUGUUGUUGCUUUUUUGGUGAAUGAGGAAAAAUCUUUGCUGAGGCCUGAGUUUCUCUAGGAUUUCUAUCGCUUGGUCAAGCAAAUAUGCCUCCUAAGCAGCCUCCAAAGUGGCUUCAGAGAGACCCAAAAGCCUGGAAUAUUUUACUGUGGGGCCCCCCUGGAAGCACUGUUUAGCCAUCCCUGCCAGAUUGUCUCAUUUGAGCCUAUUUCAUUCCUGGUCACAGAUCCAGGCUGCCAGAUGUCAAGAGCCAAAGAAAACUGACCUACCAUCAAAAGCAGAGUCAGACAAAUCUAAAACGAUAACUCUGUAGGGACCGCGGGCAGAUACUAUGCAGCAGACAUUAUGUGCCGCCUCUGAAACUUCUGGCAAGCCCUGGGGAGCAACUUGGGACAGACACCAGAAGCACCACCUUCCUGGGUCACCAUGGGCCCACUCCUGCAAUGACCACUCCCCAAGUGGAGUGAUUUGAAAAAGAUUCCAUAACAGCUCUCACAAUCCAUAUCUCAGUCUCUCUUCUUUCACUGUGAAGGUUCUGCUGCUGCAGUUUCUUAGAAAGGCAGGAAGGGUCCCUGCUUGCUCCUUGGAGUACCUACUAUUUCCCUUGGAGAAUCUGCUGCUUUCACAGCUGUCCCUGGGCAAAUCCAGUCUGGUGAUUACCAUUAUCAGACUAUUCUCACAGCACCUAUAAAACUUCAUUAUACUUAUGUACCUGUCCAUCUUUCUAUUAGACUCCUGGUAGACAAGGAUCGUAUGUAUUUCUCUUGGUACUGAAGUGUCCAAUAUAAUGCCCCAGUAGUUGCUCAAAGAAUUAUCUGUGGAACACAUCAACAUCCUUAUUUAAUAUACCGGCCCUGGAGUUAGAAAAACAACUAAUUAUAACCCCAGUCUUGCGUCUUACUAGCUAUAACACCUCAGACAACUUUCUCAGAGCCUCAGCUUUCUCAUCAGUAAAAUGGGGUUAAAAACAGUACCUACCUCAUGAGGUUGUUUUGAAGAUGACGUGAAAUCAUCGAAGCAAAAUACUUGGCACAGUGCCUGGCACACUGCAAAUUGCAAUUGCUUAAUAACGGUAGUAAUUAUUUAUCACAACCACAACUAACCCCUGAUGGUAAGAAGGUUAAUGUUAUUAACCAUGAUUUACAGGAAAAGAAACUGCGGCAAAGAAAGACGAAAACGAUUGGCACAGACACAGGGAACUCUCGUGGGGAGGGGCCCGGCAGGACCCCAGGUGUCCGGCCUCAGGGGUCUUUGCUCUGUCCCUCAGCCUGUGAUCUACCCUGUCCGUACCGUGACCGCACGGUGAGGAGGGGUCCCGCACCCUUUUUCUGAGGCGAAGGUUCCGCUUUUGGAUGGUCCUAUUCCCUCGGCGGGGCUUCAGGACGCGAGGAGUCAUGGGAAAUUAAAGGGGGAUUGGACCGGCACUGUGCCUGGAUGGGGAAGUCCUCACCUGAAAAGACCAGACUAAAUGUUUUGACCUCGCCAGGACGGCCCCUGGACUCGUCUUUCCGUAGGGGUCGGGAAAAGGGCUGGCAAUCUGCGAUUCUGUUCAGGGUCCGGUCUCUUCCGGCUUCUCCCGGAAGCU